rnacentral:lncRNA from 10 species
CGGGGAGGUGCGAGGGAGCCGCCCCCGCGGUCUGCGCGCUCGCCCGGCGGCUCCCGAGUCCGCGUUCCAAGUGGAACCGGAGCCCGGGCGCGGGCGCCCACGUUCCAUUCCCGGGAAGGCCUGGGAAGGGAGGGAAUCGCUCACCCGCCAGCCCGCCUGCAGGGAAAGGGCUCCUGGAGCUGUCGAUGCCUGCCCGACGCUGAGAUAACUCUUGGGUCCCAGUUAUCCACCAGCCACUUCUGCCUCGAUUCACCAAAGGGCAGGGAAAGAACCUUUUGGUGAGAUGGUGUGAAUUAGCGACAUCCAGCCUGAGCUGAAGUCUCCAGCGGGUCAAAGAAAUCUUUCCAUUUGCAAACUACCAAGGCUGACUUGCUGUGCAUUUGGCGGGCCUCCUGCCCCUGAUUCUGCUGGUUUGGAGAUGCUUUCUCGCUCUUUGGUUGGCUUCUGUCUCCACACAUUGUGGGGAUCCCAGGGAUUCGUCAUAGGACUCUCGGAUCGCUGGUGCCUCCACUGUGAUCUCCGGUCUCCCUGCGGCCAGCACUGACUUCUAGCAACAGAAUCCUGCAUGAGGGCCUAGGCACAGAACUUUAUUUCCACUCUUCUGAACACAUCUAAUGUGAUGCUCUGCAAUUGUCUGAAAUUUAUCCUACCCUAAGUCAUUAUCUUGUCCCCUUCUCUGGAACCUGCUUCACUUCCCGUAUCCCAAGGUGAGGUUUGGGGCUUCGCUGUCCUCCUCACUUCCCAGGCCACUCUUCUUCAUGGAAGCCUCGCGGUUUACCCUCCACCGCCUACACCUUAUCUUCUUGUUACUUUUGCCCCACAGAUAUCACCCUGAUAUGAUCUCUGUUUCUCACUCCUGCUGGCUUGAUCUUAUGUCUUGCAUUAUUCCGCAUUAGAACAAUUGAUCCCUGUCAACUCCCAUCUCUAUUCUCCACGUCGGUGUCCUCACUAUUUCCAGGUUAUAUUGCAGAACCAAAGCUGCUUAUUUGUCACGUUGAUGCUUAGACACCUCUGUGGGCUUCUGGCAGCUGAAAGGAUAAAAUUUAAUUUCUGUGGUUUGGUUUAGUAAAUUCUCAUAAUCUGCUCCUGUAUUUGUUUGUUAGGGCUGCCAUAACAAAGUACCAGAGACUGGGUGGCUUAACAGAAAUUUAUUUGCUCACCUUGUCUCUACAAAAAAUACAAAAAUUAGCCAGGCUUUGCGGUGUGUGCCUUUGGUCCCAGCUAUUAGGGACGCUGAGGUGGGAGGAUCGCUUGAGCCCGGGAGGCAGAGGAUGUAGUGAGCCAAGAUCGGGCCACUGCACUCCAAGUGACAGAGUGAGACUCUGUCUCAUAAAGAAAGAAAGAGAGAGAGAGAAGAAAGAAAAAAAGAAGGAAGGAAGGAAAAAGAAAAGAAAAAUUGUAUUUUCUCACGAGGUGUUGGCAGAGUUGGUUUCUUCUGAGGCCUCUCUCCUUGGCUUGCAGAUGGCCCCGCUUUUGUGUCCUCACGCCGUCUUCCCUCUUCCCUCUGUAUGCGUCUGUGUCCUAAUUGUCUAUUCUUAUACAUCAUAUUGGAUUAGGGCCUACCCUCAUGACCUUGUUUUCACUUCAUUACUUCUGUAAAGACCCUGUCUCCAAGUAUGGUCAUGUUCUGAGGUAAUGGGGGUUAGGACUUCAACACAGAAAUUUUUGGGGGGACACAAUUUAGCUUUAACAGCUCUUAAUGUACUCCUCUAGCAUGGCAUCCCAUGCCAUCCAUCCACCUUAAUGAAUUAUUCAUUUGUUCUCUAGGCACAUAUAACAUGCUGCUAAUAUUUAGGUAAUUAUGGCUACCUAUUACCUGAUCCUGCAGUUUAUUAAUUUAGAUAUUCAUGUUCUUCUCUUAACUGUGAGCUUCUCAAAGGCAAGACUGGUGGGUCUGGAGCACAGCCCUAGCUCAUGCUAUUCAUCAGUUCAUUCUGAAGACAUUUCCUGUGCCCUGAAUUAAGGUCUGGGCAUGUAGAGAGGAGUAUGAUACAGCCUUGGCCCUCAAGAGGAGACAGACCAAAAAUGAGAGAUUACCAAGUGGGUUAAGGGUUAUGGUGCCUGUCAUCCAAGGAACUUCUGAAGCUGAAGAUGUCCUGAAUAGCACCAGCAGCACUGCAGAGUCGAAGGAUUCUUACAGACACAUUCCAACAGAGGAGAGCCAGGCCUGGAAAGAGAAUGCAGAAUCUGAGCCAAAGGGUCCUCUGGAGAAUAGGCCUAGUACAAUGUUUUCAAAUUGUGAUCAGAAGAUCUCCAGCAUCACUUGCAGCUCUUGCUAAAAAUAUAGAUACUGGGUCCACAUUCCAACCUUAUUGACUCAAAAUCUUCCGGAUUCCAGUCCUGAAAUUCUGAAUCUUCACAGGGGAUUCUCAGGCAUCCAAAGUUUGAGAAGCACCAAUGUGUUCCAAAUGGAAGAGGUUUCAUAAAUAUUUCCCCCACAUUUCUAUACUUCACUGUUAGCACUAGUGAGACAAUCAUCUGGAAUCCCAGACUUAGAAGAAAAUUCAGUGGUCUUUGAGUCAGGUUACUCUAUGCUUGUGCCUGCAGUCACUAAUUCGUUGUAAGGACCCUGGAGCCAGACUGCCUGGAUUCUGAUUUACUCACUACUUCCUAGCUGUGUGACCUUGGGAAAGUCACUUUAUCUCCUUGUACCACCAAAGAUGAGGAUAAUGAUAAUGCCUACCUCAUAGGGUUGUUGUGAGGAUUAGGUGAAUUAAUACAUGUGUUUUAGUCCAUUCGGGCUGCUAUAAAAAAUAUCAUGUAGUGGGUGGCUUAUAAACGAUGAACCUUUAUUUCUUACAGUUCUGGAAGCUGGACGGUCCAAGAUCAUGCUGCCAGCAGAUUUGUGGUCUGGUGAGGGUCUACUUUCUGGUUCAUAGACUGCACCUCCUAGCUGUGUCUUAUGGUAGAAGGGGCAAAAGAGCUCCCUUGAGCUGCUUCUCUAAGGGCACUAAUCCCAUUUGUGAGGGCUCCAGCCCCAUGAUGUAAUCACCUCUCAGAGGCCCCAGCUCCUUAUACCAUCACUUUGAAGGUUAGGAUUUCAAUGUAUGAAUUAUGGGGGGGGAACACAAACACCCAGACCAUAGCAUGUGGAACACCGUCUGACAUGUACGUGCUAAUAGUGUUAGAAGUAGUCUUUGCUCUUAUAUCUUAAUUAUGAUAACUGUUUUCAUCUAUGAUAAUUGCUUUUGUGGAUGUCUUUGUUAGUGUUAGAAGUGGUCUUAGCUCUUAUAUCUUAAUUAUGAUAACUAUUUUCAUCUAUUAUAAUUGCUUUUGUGGAUGUCUUUGUUCCAGCUAGGCUGUGAGUUUCUGGAGGGCUCCAUGCCAAUCCUAGAGGCUUCUAUAACAAAUACUUACUAAACACCUACUAUAUGCCAGGCACAAUACUAGGAGAGACGGCAAUUCAUUAAAUAGGGGAAAAGCCUAGCUCUCAUAGAGGUGAGCUUAUAUUUUACAGGGUUUGAGGGGAUUUAGAAGAGAGAUUGCCCAGGCUGGCAUGGGUAGGGAAGGUAGGUAGGGCCAGAUCAUAGGAAGCCUCAGAUGUGUGUUAAGGAGUACAGACUCUCUAUAGUUAAUGAUAACAUAAAUAGGCCUUUUUUUUUUCUUUCUAGAGUGUCAGUUCCUAUUUAAAACAAAAUCUGAAAUCUUCCUGAAACUAUAUCCUCACCCUUAAAAGAAUUCAAAUUGAUUGGAAAUGUGUCUGCACAUACAUAAUUCAGAGUUAUAUGUGUGCUUACCCAAAAUUUUCUUUACAAAUUAUUGCAAGAAAUGUAAUCAUUAAAAAUUCGCAGCAAUUUUUGUGUAAUACCACUUAAAUAGCAUUUGGUCCAUUGCACCCUAAAUCUUACAUUUUGGAGUUUCAAUAUUAAUUUCAAUCUUAAUUUUCAUAAACCCAACACCAGCCAUCUAAUAUAUUUCCUGUUCAAAUACUUAUUCAUUCCUUCUGGCUUACUAAGGUUCCCUUUUGUGCUUUUAUGUUAAUUUGUUUCUCCCCUUUAGAGUGCCCAGCUUUUGCUCAAGCAGGCCCUGAGGCUGUAAAUUUCUCUCCCUACCCACGGAAUUCCUUCCUUUAAUACCCAUCUGAAGACCUUACUUCUAAUAAGAAAUUUUCCAUUAUUAAAUAAGUGACGUGCACAAAGUUUUUUUCAUCUCAUUUCCACAAUCCUGUUGUCACAUUACAAAUUUCCAUCAUCUGUAGCAUCUGGAAAUACCGAGUGGGAUAGAUAACAUGGCCUGGCUGCUGUUUGUUUUUUUUUUCAUCAGUGUGCUAGAUCUUCCUGGACACGCUGCACAAAUCUCACCUCAGUCUUAGUGCCACCGUGGACGCUGGAAGGAGCCAUUUUAAAAGUGUGAACUGAUGAAACAGACACAAAGUGAAGUACCCGUUGGUUUCGCGGUCUCCACCUCGAGAGGAAAUCCAAAAGGAGUUUCUGGCAUGUGUGGUGUUGCUUAGCAAUUUACCCAAACAAACAUGUUUCCUCCUCAUUUUUUUCCCCAGUACUUAUUUACUCAAGAACAUUGUAAAAUCAAUUUUUACCACUUGACAUCUGAAAUCAUUAGAAGAAAAUCUGGUGUUUUGGGCUUUAUGAGAAGAACUGCUAACCACAGUAAGACUUUGACUUUACUUUGUUUGUCAUUUUGCUGCUUUAAUAACAUAAAGCUAGGAUUUGUGGCCUUCUUCAUGAUAGAUUUGGUUUGGAUUGGCCUGCAUACAUCCCUGUCUCUGUGGGGUUAUCUUGGCACCAUAAUUGGCUGGCACCGUGAUCUUGAUGACCUAAUCUCUCUAUCUCAAUUUCCUUCUCUGGAUAAUGAGGUUAAAUACCCAUCUUAUAAAUCCCCCACAGAAUUUUUGUUGAGGACUAAUGAAGGAAUAUUAAUAAGUUUAUAAAACAUGUAUUGAGUGUCCGCUACAUGCCAGUCACUGUGUUGCAUUCCAGAGUGACAAAGAUAAGACAUGAUUCCUACCUUCAAUGAGAUCAAAUCUUAUAGUUAAACUGCCUGGAAACAUCCAUAGAUCAUUCUCAACUUCUCUACCCAUAAAAACUUAGGAAUUUUUCUAGACUCAGACUUCAUCUCUCCCUGGAACCUUCCAUAGACACAAUCUUGGCCCCCAGCAUGAAUUGACAUGCCUCUCUACCCUGUAAACCUUUAUUCCAACAUUUGCCACCUUAUACUGAAAAUAUCUGUUCACAUAGACGUCUUCGUGAGUGGCACAUAAGCUCCUGGAGAGCAGGGACCCUGGCUUAUUAGCAGCUCAGCAGCCAGUCUGUUUUCUAGUGCAAGUUUUCUUGGGGACACCCCCACCUACCCACCCCUGCUGCCAUUCUUAGCCUAUAUGUGUCUCAGGUGUGGCAGACACCACUGCUAGCUCCCAAGUGGUGAUUGUGGAGCUCAGGCUUGCCCAAUCAGCAUCACGUCUCCUUGGCCCCUGUGAAUGGUAUUUCACAAGUAUGUUAUCCUGUUGUGUUAAAAAAAAAAAUUAGGCCAGAAAUUUUUUUCCAGUUGUUGGAAAAGAAAAGCUUUUCUUCCCACCAGAUUUAGAGUUUUAAAGAUGUAAGUCCAGACAAGCUGGCAGCCAAAAUGUUGAUGCUCAGGGGAAAAAUGGCGCCAACAAUGGAGAUACAAAAAAUAUUUAUAAUGUGGAUACUGGAAGAAUACUAAAAUUGAACUAAUGUUUGGGUGGCCAUGCUAUUCAAGAACAUUAUGAAAUACAUUUUUAUUGUGUGCCAUCUCCUGGUUUUGUCAGAUGCAGAUUAUGAUAUUUAUUAUCUAUAUUUUUAUCCAAGUUCAAAAGAAUUUUGAACAAAUUGGGGCCAAGAACAGAGUUCUUUGAAAUACUGUGUGCAGCUCUUCUCUUCAUCAACUCUAGUUUAUUCACUAGUACUGUUUGGGUAUAGUUGUAUUUUAAAAAAACUUUAAAUCCAAUUUUCACUAGCCCAGAUUUUUCCAAAGCUUAUCACAAUUUUUUUUCAAAUACCUUUUGAUGCCAACAUGAAUGAGGCUUCCAGCAUUCCCAGAUCUACCAGACUUUGCAGAGUACCUGUUUUAUGUCCCCUUCGUACAAUCUUAGAUAUGAUUAGGAUGCUAAAGAAGUUGUUUAUGCCUGCAAGAAGCUUGUAACUAGCUUGCUAUACAUGGAUAAAACAUUUAACCAAUAAGAGCUUUAUGACAUUCUUCUGGGAAGUUUUUUUUGUUUUGUUUUAUUUUAAAUAAAGAUUCUGGAGUCUAACUUCUAGGGAUUCUGAUUCAUUAUGUCUCAGCUAGGUCCUAGGAAUCUGUAUUUUAAGAGAGUAGAUCAAAGAGACAGAGAAAGACUAGGUUCUCAGGACAUCAUUUGAACCCCUGAGUUAGAACUAAUUGAAGCUAGAUCCACCCCUGGACUCCAUGAGCCAAAAAAUAUCCUUUUAAAAAAUUAAAAAAAUUAUUUCAACUUUACCCUUGCCCCUUUCCCUCCCUCCCUCCUCUUGUAUUCCCCACUGUCUAUUGUUGCCAUCUUUAUCCAUGGGCACCCAAAGGUUAGCUCCCACUUAUAAGUGAGAACAUGUGGUAUUUGGCUUUCAGUUACUAUGUUAAUUUGUUUAGGUUAAUGGCCUCCAGCUGCAUCCAUGUUGCUGCACAGGACAUGAUUUUAUUCUUUUUCAUAGCUUCAUAGUAUUUCAUAGUGUAUAGUACCAUGUUUUAAAAAAUCCAAUCCAUCAUUGAUGGGCACCUAGAUUGACUCUAUGUCUUUGCUAUUAUGAAUAGUGCUGCAAUGAAUAUACAGGUACACAUGUCUUUGUAAUAUUAUUUACAGCAUUCCCAUCAGCAAUAAAUAAGAGUUCUUUUUCCACAUCCUCAACAGCAGUAGCAUUAUCAGUGUUUUGGAUUUUGGCCAUUCAAAUGGGCGGGCAAUUGGAUCUCGUUGUUUUAAUUUGCAAUUCCUUAUUGACAUAUAUGUGGAGCAUCUUUUCAUAUGCUCAGUUGCC